UACGGGGGGGGCGAGCGUUGUUCGGAAUCACUGGGCGUAAAGCGCACGUAGGCGGCGCCGUAAGUCAGGGGUGAAAUCCCGGAGCUCAACUCCGGAACUGCCCUUGAAACUGCAGUGCUAGAAUCUUGGAGAGGCGAGUGGAAUUCCGAGUGUAGAGGUGAAAUUCGUAGAUAUUCGGAAGAACACCAGUGGCGAAGGCGACUCGCUGGACAAGUAUUGACGCUGAGGUGCGAAAGCGUGGGGAGCAAACAGG
rnacentral:rRNA from 1 species